UGCCAAACUGAGGGGAGAAAUACCACCAGUCCUUCACCGAAGGAUGACGCUUGAAGGUAUAGAAGUGCCUAAACAGAGAGAGGGACGGUCGGACCUCGACUACAUGGCAAAGGGAGAGAAAUCCUAUCAAAAACCUAAAAGAAUUCAGAGCAAUAGAAGCCAAAGAGAUGUCUAAGAAGCGAAAGAGGGUGACAACAAAGGAUGGAAGCGGA
rnacentral:lncRNA from 1 species